UCGGACCCCAAAUCCAAAUCGAAAUCAAAACGGGGAUUUCUUCGGACCUCAAAUCCAAAUCGAAAUCAAAAUGGGGAUUUCUUCGGACCCCAAAUCCAAAUCGAGAUCAAAAAGGGGAUUUCUUCGGACCCCAAAUCCAAAUCGAGAUCAAAAAGGGGAUUUCUUCGAACCCCAAAUUAAACCAAAAUCAAAAGGAGAUUUCUUCGGAUCCGAACCAAAUUGCAAAAUCAAAAGAGGAUUGCCUCGAAUCUGAAAUAGAAUUGAAAAGAAAAUCAAGUCCACAUACGAACCAAAUCCAAAUCAAGUUCACAUACGAAACCAAAUCCAAAUCUAGUCCACAUCCAAACCAAAUUCAAAUCCAGUCUACAUAAAAAUCCAAACCCAAAGUCCAAAUAAAAAAUCCAAAACCAAAUACAGUUCACAAAUCAAAUCCAAACCCAACCCAAACCAAAAUCCAAAUAAAAUCCAAACCAAAUCAAACCCAAACCCAAACCAAACCAAAACCCAAAUCAAAUCCAAAGCCAAACCAAACCAAAACCCAAAUAAAAUCCAAACCAAAUCAAAUCCAAACCCAAACCCAAACCCAAAGCCAAAUCCAGUCCACAUAAAAAUCCAAACCCAAAGUCUAAAUAAAAAACCCAAAAUCAAAUACAGUCCACAAAUAAACCCAAACCCAAAACCCAAAUCAAAUCCAAACCCAAAACCAAAUACAGUCCACAAAUAAACCCAAACCCAAAACCCAAAUCAAAUCCAAACCCAAACCCAAAUUAAGUCCACAUCCAAAUCUAACCCAAACCAAGUCCACAUAAAGAACCCAAACCCAUUCCACAAAUAAAAUCCAAACCCAACCCAAACCAAGUCUAUAAAUAAAACCAAAAUUCAAACCGAAACCCGAACCCAAAACCAAAACCCAAACUCAACCCAAAUCAAGUCCACAAUCCAAAUCCAAACCCAAAACCCAAAUCCAACUUCCAAUUUAGGCUCAUGAACCUAAACCAUAUCAAGUUCGUGAACCAAAUCCCAAAUCCUAUACCCAAGUUCAUGAAUCAAGUCUCAUGAACCAAAACUUAUAAACCAAGUUCAUGAACCACGAACCAUAUCCAUGAACCUUACCCAAGUUCGUGAACCAAACACCACGGAUCAUAACCCAAGUUCAUGAAUCAAGGCCCAUGAACCAAAAUAAACCAAGUUCAUGAACCAUGAACCAAGAAUGAACCAAAUCCUGUAUACCCAACUUCAUAAAUCAUAAACCAAGUUCAUGAAUCAUGAAUCAAGUCCAUAUACCAAGAUUCAUGAGCCAAGUUCAUAAACCUCACCCAUGAACCAUAUCCAAGUUCAUGAACCAAAUCACAUAUACUCAACUUCAUAAACCAUAAACCAAGUUCAUAAAUCAUGAAUCAAGUCUAUAUAUCAAGAUUCAUGAGCCAAGUUCAUAAACCUAACCCAUGAACCAUAUCCAAGUUCAUGAAGUAAAUCCCAUAUACCCAACUUCAUAAACCAUAAACCAAAUUCAUAAAUCAUGAAUCAAGUCCAUAAAUCAAGAUUCAUACAUCAAACCUCAUACACCAUAUCCAAGCUCAUGAACCCAAUCCACAUACUCAACCUCAUGAGUCAUGAACCAAAUCUCAUGGACUAUACAACCAUACACCAAGUUUAUGAACCAUGAACCAUGAGCCAAGUUCAUAAACCUCAUCCAUGAACCAUAUUCAAGUUCAUGAACCAAAUUCCAUACACCAAAUCUCAUAAACUAAACUCAUAAACCAUACACCAUAUUCCAUGAACCAUACCCAAGUUCAUGAACCAAGACUCAUGAACCAUAAACCAAAUCCCAUAAGCCAAGUUCAUGAACCAAGUCUCAUGAACCAUAAACCAAAUCCCAUAAACCAAGUUCAUGAAUCAUACCUCAUGAACCAUGAACCAUGAACCAUACCCAAGUUCACGAACCGAGUCUCAUAAACUAUAAACCAAACCCACAAACCAUACACCAAGUUCAUAAAUCAUAAACCAAGUUCAUGAACCAUACCUUAUGAACCAUGAACCAUUAACCAAAUGAACCAAGUUCAUAAACCAUACACCAUGAACCAUAAACCAUACACCAAAUUCAUGAACCAUAAACUAUGAACCAUAUCCAUAAACCAAAUCUCAUGAACCAUACACCAUAUUCCAUGAACCAUGCCCAAGUCCAUAAACCAAAUCUCAUAUACCAAACCCAAUGAACCAUAUUCAAGUUCAUGAAUCAAAUCCAAUACCCAAAUCUCAUGAACAAUAAACCAAGUUCGUGAACCAAAUGAAUCAAGUUUAUGAACCAUGAACCAUAUACCAAACCUCAUGAACCAUAUCCAAAUCCCAUGAACUAUACCCAAAUUCAUGAACUAAAUCUCAUGAACCAUAAACCAAACCCCAUAAACCAAACCAUACCAAGUUUAUCAUAAACCUCUUUACUCUGGCAUAUAUACCUAAAGUAAAAAUCAAAUAUCGAUUACCCUUAGUACAUGUACUAAGGCAAAACAUCUCCAAAUCGACAGAGUUCUAAAUUAUACACUUAGAAUUCAGUCAAAUAAUAUCAAAUUCAUUCGAACUCUAAUACAUAUACUUAGAGUUCAUCCGACUAACCCUAAUACAUAUCCUAAGGGUCUAGUCAACCUUUCACUCUAGCACAUAU
rnacentral:lncRNA from 1 species